rnacentral:rRNA from 1 species
GAUGAACGCUAGCGGCAGGCCUAAUACAUGCAAGUCGGACGGGAUUGGAGAGCUUGCUUUCCAUGAGAGUGGCGCACGGGUGCGUAACACGUAUGUAACCUACCUUAAUCUGGGGGAUAGCCUCUCGAAAGAGAGAUUAACACCGCAUAACAUUACCGGACAGCAUUUUUUGGUAAUCAAAUAUUUAUAGGAUUAAGAUGGGCAUGCGGAACAUUAGCUAGUUGGUAAGGUAACGGCUUACCAAGGCUACGAUGUUUAGGGGAUCUGAGAGGAUGACCCCCCACACUGGUACUGAGACGCGGACCAGACUCCUACGGGAGGCAGCAGUAAGGAAUAUUGGUCAAUGGGCGCAAGCCUGAACCAGCCAUGCCGCGUGCAGGAAGACGGCCCUACGGGUUGUAAACUGCUUUUGUACCGGAAUAAACCCUUUUACGUGUAAGAGACUGAAUGUACGGUAAGAAUAAGGAUCGGCUAACUCCGUGCCAGCCGCCGCAGUAA